UUCCAUGGUGAGGACAAUUUGAUAUGUAUCAUUGAAAACGCUCCUAUGCUUCUAAAAUGGUUUGUCUUCUGCUGUUGGAAACUGACAAUAUUUUCUCUUAAGGCA
rfam:Sorghum bicolor cultivar BTx623 chromosome 10, whole genome shotgun sequence.